AUUAUACAAUUGUAUCGUUUUAUAUUGUGCGCAACGCUCAUCGCGACAGCCAUGAUGUACAUGAUUAUCUUACAUACGAUGCGUGAGUACGUAUACACGUGUGUCAAUCGAGGAGUGCAGAGUGCUCUUUAUUUACAGCAUAUUUAUAUAUAAGGCAAUGAAUAUGUCUUAACAUAUGGGAUCAAUUGUUGUAUCAAAUUCAAAAAACCACCAUUUGAAAAAUUUGACCCUGGCUAAGAUAAACAUCAGUGAACAAUAUAUUAUAAGGAAAACUCUGUACAAGAUACUAGAAAUGCUAAAAGAUGAUCAAGAAGCUUUUACACAAGUUAGGCUAUUAGACAACAAUUCUUUGUAAUACAGAGAAAGACUUGGAACACUUUAUAAUGGAAUGGCUUAGAUUUGCAAACAUCCGUAAAUAAAGAAAAAAAUCUUAAAAGCAACUGUUUGGUAAAGAUCCGGAAAGAUUAAUAAUCUGUUUAAAAGGAAAGAAUAAGAGUUUGGAAAAAAAUGGUAAAAGAGUUAUAUUAAACUAAAGCAUCUGUAUCGCAUUGCCUAAAGAAGAGUUAGAAGGCACCUUAAUUUCCCUUAUCCGAAGGCUGACUUCAAAAAUCCCUUCCUAGGAUUCCUUCCUAGGAUCAAUACUUUCUCAGGUAAUUGGCAGAGAUAAUUUGCAGAAAUAAUUGGCACACGAAAUAAAUCUCAUAA